rnacentral:rRNA from 1 species
UACGGAGGGUGCAAGCGUUAUUCGGAAUUACUGGGCGUAAAGCGCGUGUAGGCGGGAAGGUAAGUCUGAUGUGAAAGCCCUGAGCUCAACCUGGGAAGUGCAUUGGAUACUGCUUUUCUUGAGUUCUGGAGAGGAUAGGGGAAUUCCCGGUGUAGAGGUGAAAUUCGUAGAGAUCGGGAGGAAUAUCAGUGGCGAAGGCGCCCAUCUGAACGGCAACUGACGCUGAGACGCGAAAGCGUGGGGAGCAAACAGG